rnacentral:lncRNA from 1 species
CUUGCCACAAGCCAUAGAAUUUCAGAGGACUCAUUCCGGAACCUUGGGAAGACUUAAAACUGGACUUCCUGAGACUGUUGGAAUCCAUUGUUCCUAUCUUUCCAGGGGAGCAGAGCGGUAACUUCCUGUUGGCAGUUCUAUCUAAGCCUAAGAGAAGAUGACUUAGCUGUUCCCUGAGAGCUGGAGGUUCCUGCUUUCCAGCUAUCCAGAGAUCCAGAGAUUCGGUCCAUCCCUGACUCUACCUAUUUUCCUAUAAGAUCAGUCCAUUCUUCAGUAAUGCCUGGUUUGAAAAUAUGAAUUUAUUCCAACUCAAUUUGUAUAUUGGGGAACAUUUUGACCAUAAUUCAAAUUUGCCUCUGCAUGAUAUCAUCUGCAAGAAACAACCAGAGAACUCAGGAAACUUCACCACUUCAAAGUAACUCAGAAACUGCAACUGUGAUGGCACAACUCACUCCCACAAGCCAACUUCAGGUCUUUGUCAAGAUAUAUUCCUCCCUUCUGGCACUCUGUGGUUCGGCCAUACCAAGAUAUUCCAUCUCUGUCCCCAUUGCUGGAUUGCAUUCACAUCUACCCCCAACCUCUUGGAAUCUCUUAUUAUUGCCUUCAAAACUUGAAAACCCUCCUGAUCUCCCCAGCCGAUAGUGUCUUUCCCUGCCAAAAAUAAAAUUGCCCUGUAUUUAUUUCA